rnacentral:rRNA from 1 species
UACGUAGGGUGCGAGCGUUAAUCGGAAUUACUGGGCGUAAAGCGUGCGCAGGCGGUUCGUCGUGUCCGAUGUGAAAGCCCCGGGCUCAACCUGGGAAUGGCAUUGGAAACUGGCGGACUCGAGUGUGGCAGAGGGGGGUGGAAUUCCGCGUGUAGCAGUGAAAUGCGUAGAGAUGCGGAGGAACACCGAUGGCGAAGGCAGCCCCCCUGGGGCUAACACUGACGCUCAGGCACGAAAGCGUGGGGGAGCAAACAGG